UUUGCAUUGUAGAUAGCCUAAUCUUCAGUAUAAUUUUACGAUGGUAUAUAUUUAUACUCAGCUCAUCUAUCAUGUACAGUUAAUGUCAAGUAAGGUGGGUGAGAAAAAUGCCGGUGCAGGACAAUUGAAGUGGAGGUGUGAUCGCUGCAUUGGGAUCAAUGAUUACUUAAGAGACAAAGGUUUGAUUUAGUUGAGGCAAUGGCAAGAGCAUAUUUUGUAGAGGAAGAUGAUGAACCUUAAUGCGCUGAACCUUGUAUACUAGAACCUUGCAGGUGUUUUUGCAGAAGUAUUUUAUUGUGCACAUGUAAAAUUAUGUUGAUGUGCCCUUGUUAGGCGUUGAACCUUAAUGCAUGGAGUCGGUGGAUGAUGUAUUGUAUUUGAUGUGAUAUGCUAUUGAAAUGAAAUA